ensembl:lncRNA
UGCAACCCCAUGGACUGUAACCCACCAGGCUCCUCUGUCCAUGCGAUUUUCCAGCAGGCAUUCUCUACGUUGAGAUUAGAAACUGUCCAAGAAACCGUGAUCACCUAGCAUGCUCACCAAUUCCUUCUGAAGAAAGCAUCAGUAAACAACUUCCUAGAUGACCUGGUAACACUCGAUUGCAUUCUGAAUGGCUGCUGCAGGCUUCAUGUACCAUUCUACAUUUGGUCAGCUCCUAUGCCUCAGAUCUUAACAGUGCCUCCUCAGAUACAGCACAGCUGCCCCGAUUCCUCUCUCAAGAAUCUGAAAAGAUCUCCAGAAAGAAGGUUCUCCUACCAGCCCGUGCCUCUUCUCUUCCUACUCAGCCAAGAAGUGAGCACACAUUUUUUUUUAGUCUCAGUUGAUCUAAUUCUCUCUUCAGAGACUUUACAACUCAUGGGGAGAGACUGAGGUCAGAGGAACAAUUGGCAUUCCUUUAUUUUACCACCUUCCUCCCCUUCGCUCACUGUUCUGACCACACUCCUUCCUUCUACACAUUUAAGAGUCGGACACGACUCUUAGGUGUGAAGUGAGCGACUUCACUUUCACGUUUCACUUUCAUGCAU